rnacentral:lncRNA from 1 species
CUUCUUUGGGAAGCUUCUGGAGCAAUCUGACGUUCUUACUGCUCUCCCCAUCUACCCCAGAUCUCCUGCAGCUCUCCUCCACCUUUUCCCAGCCUGCCAUCUUCCCUCUUUCUGUUUUCCACCUGGAAUGGAGUCCAGAUGUGCAGCAAGGAACGAAGGGGAGCAAGCAAUCGGGCGGCCCUUCAGUGCCUGCUCCAGCGUACGGUAUCAUGUACAGGAAUAACAUGGCGGAGGGGGGCGGCUGGCACUCGGGUCGGAGCACACUGCGCCAUUGUACAGCCCGGGACGGCCGGCGAGGACGAGGGGCCUGCCUGAUGGACGCUCCGGCCCAGUUCACCUGAUUUGUAUUUCAGAGUGGUGCAGUUACACGCCAACCCCCAGCUGACUGUACCGUGUCGGAAAAAAUGUUUGCGAAACAGAACUGUUUGUAUUUCGGUACUGCGGGCCGCUCCGUGAACAAAAACCUCCUUGAUGGAGUGAAAGGUCGCAUGAAAUGCCGUGCAGCCCUUUUUAUUACCGAGGGCAUCUCUAAUACGUGCCCGCAGUUAUUUGGUCGGUGCACAUAAGGCUCUGCGCCUCCUCCACGGUAGUGCUCUUUGUGGUGAACAAGGAGAGGCGAGAAAGCAAAUUGUUCCAAUUUUCUCUGUGUAACUGGGGCCUUGCUUUGGUUAGUGGGAGCGUUUCAUAUGUGCGACAUGUGAGAAACCCGGUAUCAAAGCCGCACCGCACUGUCGUCUGCCUCUCCUUUCAGUAGCAUCUUAGGAAGAGCUUAAAAUAACAGAUUGGAGCUUAAUAUUUCUCAUCACAAGGCUUAUUCAGCGUUCGCUAAAUAAGCCUUCUGAUGAGAAAUAUUACAGUACAAAGUGGGAAGAUACUUUACUGCUCACGGAGUGAUUUCAGCUCCUUCCGAACAUACAUUUACUUAGCAGACACUUUUGUCCAAAGCAACUUCCAAUGAACUCUAUGUAGUGUUAUCAGCCCACACACCUUAUUCACCAAGGUGACUUACACUGCUAGAUACACUACUUACAAUGGGUCACUCAUCCAUACAUCAGUAUAACUGACUCUCUCUCUGUCACUCACAUGCUAUAUGAGUGACCCCCAACAGCAUGUCUUUAGACUGUGGGAGGAAACCCACACAGACACAGGGAAAACAUGCAAACUCCACACAGACAGAGUAGGGAUCAAACCCACAUUCUCACACCACUCAGGCACUGUGAGACAGCAGCGCUACUCACUGUGCCACUGUGCCGA